rnacentral:rRNA from 1 species
CCUGGUGGCUAUAGCGUCGGUGUCCGAACUCGGCCGUGAAACCCRACUGCGCCAAUGGUACUAUCGCUCAAGCGAUGGAAGAGUAGGUCGUCGCCAGGC